rnacentral:rRNA from 1 species
UACGUAGGGUGCAAGCGUUGUCCGGAAUUAUUGGGCGUAAAGAGCUCGUAGGCGGUCUGUCACGUCGGCUGUGAAAACCCGGGGCUCAACCCCGGGCCUGCAUUCGAUACGGGCUGGCUAGAGUGUGGUAGGGGAGAUCGGAAUUCCUGGUGUAGCGGUGAAAUGCGCAGAUAUCAGGAGGAACACCGGUGGCGAAGGCGGAUCUCUGGGCCAUUACUGACGCUGAGGAGCGAAAGCGUGGGGAGCGAACAGG